AACGAACGCUGGCGGCAUGCCUAACACAUGCAAGUCGAACGAGACCUUCGGGUCUAGUGGCGCACGGGUGCGUAACGCGUGGGAAUCUGCCCUUGGGUUCGGAAUAACAGUUGGAAACGAAUGCUAAUACCGGAUGAUGACGUAAGUCCAAAGAUUUAUCGCCCAGGGAUGAGCCCGCGUAGGAUUAGCUAGUUGGUGGGGUAAAGGCCUACCAAGGCGACGAUCCUUAGCUGGUCUGAGAGGAUGAUCAGCCACACUGGGACUGAGACACGGCCCAGACUCCUACGGGAGGCAGCAGUGGGGAAUAUUGGACAAUGGGCGAAAGCCUGAUCCAGCAAUGCCGCGUGAGUUAUGAAGGCCUUAGGGUUGUAAAGCUCUUUUACCCGGGAUGAUAAUGACAGUACCGGGAGAAUAAGCCCCGGCUAACUCCGUG
rnacentral:rRNA from 1 species